CCUGAGUAAUCUUCAUAUUUAUAGUUCACAAGAUGCCAGUCAGAGUUAUAGGUUUUGAUGCACUCUGUAACAAACAAGCUCUGUGCUUCCUCUUCCGCCUUCGCAGGCACUGUUGAGCAUAUGUAUCGACCCUGUCGUCUCAGGAUGGCCGUCUGAAAGUCAUCGUAAGGGAAGAGCAGCAUCUCCCGUAAACAGUCGUUCAGG
rnacentral:misc_RNA from 1 species